rnacentral:rRNA from 1 species
CCUACGGGUGGCAGCAGUGGGGAAUAUUGGGCAAUGGGCGCAAGCCUGACCCAGCAACGCCGCGUGAAGGAAGAAGGCUUUCGGGUUGUAAACUUCUUUUAAGAGGGAAGAGCAGAAGACGGUACCUCUGGAAUAAGCCACGGCUAACUAAGUGCCAGCAGCCGCGGUAAUACGUAGGUGGCAAGCGUUGUCCGGAUUUAUUGGGCGGAAAGGGUGCGUAGCGGGCAUAGUAAGUCUUAUGUAAAAAGGCGGUGCUCAACCCAGUAGGGCAAAAGAGACUGCAAUGCUAGAGUAUGCCAGAGGCAAGUGGAACUCCUUGUGUAGCGGUCAACUGCGUACAUCUCUCUCAGAACUCCAGUUGCGAAGGCGGCUUGCUGGGUCGCUACUGACAUUGAGGCACGAAAGCGUGGGUAGCAAACAGGCUUAGAUACCCUGGUAGUC